UGGGAUUAAAGUGUAUACUAAAGGAUACA
rnacentral:piRNA from 1 species